AACGAACGCUGGCGGCAUGCCUAACACAUGCAAGUCGAACGAGACCUUCGGGUCUAGUGGCGCACGGGUGCGUAACGCGUGAGAACCUGCCCUUGGGUUCGGAAUAACGUCGGGAAACUGACGCUAAUACCGGAUAAUGUCUUCGGACCAAAGAUUUAUCGCCGAAGGAUGGGCCCGCGUAGGAUUAGCUAGUUGGUGGG
rnacentral:rRNA from 1 species